rnacentral:tRNA from 2 species
AGCCCCAUACCCUUAGCGGCCAAUAGGAUCGGUCUUUGGAACCGAAUUGUCCCCGGUUCGAAUCCGGGUGGGGCUA